AUUUCAAACACAAUAAACACUUUUCUCUCACUUCCGGUAUCUGUCAUACACGGAAGCCAUUCCGGCAGAUGACGUAGUACGUCGGCGUUGCCUGAUUACAAUCAUCGCUAUACAAAU